UAAGACAGAGGCCUCGAGCGUUAGGCGGAAUCACUGGGCUUAAAGCGUGUGUAGGCGGACUUCUAAGUGUCUUGUGAAAUCCCACGGCUCAACCGUGGAACUGCUGGGCAUACUGGGAGUCUUGGGCCAUUCAGGGGCGACUGGAACAAGCGGUGGAGCGGUGAAAUGCGUAGAUAUCGCUUGGAACGCCGAAGGUGAAAACAGGUCGCUGGGGAUGUGCCGACGCUGAGACACGAAAGCCAGGGGAGCAAACGGGAUUAGAUACCCCGGUAGUCCUGGCCCUAAACGAUGAGUGCUUGGUGUGGCGGGUAUCGAUCCCUGCCGUGCCGAAGCUAACGCAUUAAGCACUCCGCCUGGGGAGUACGAUCGCAAGGCUG
rnacentral:rRNA from 1 species